rnacentral:tRNA from 1 species
AUCUAAGUAGCUUAUAUAGAGUAUAACAUUGAAGAUGUUAGGGAAAUUUAUUUAUUCUUAGAUA